rnacentral:rRNA from 1 species
UACGGAGGGUGCAAGCGUUAUCCGGAUUCACUGGGCGUAAAGGGUGUGUAGGCGGUUCUUUAAGUUUGGUGUGAAAUCUCGCGGCUCAACCGGGAGGGUGCGCCGAAUACUGAGGGACUCGAGUGCGGGAGAGGAAAGUGGAAUUCCUGGUGUAGCGGUGAAAUGCGUAGAUAUCAGGAGGAACACCGGUGGUGUAGACGGCUUUCUGGACCGUAACUGACGCUGAGACACGAAAGCGUGGGUAGCAAACAGG